GACGGAGGAUGCAAGCGUUGUCCGGAAUCAUUGGGCGUAAAGAGUUCGUAGGUGGCAUAUCAAGUCUGGUGUUAAAGACCGAAGCUCAACUUCGGCGUGGCGCUGGAAACUGGUAAGCUGGAGCAUAGUAGAGGCAAGGGGAAUUCCCAGUGUAGCGGUGAAAUGCGUAGAUAUUGGGAGGAACACCAGUGGCGUAAGCGCCUUGCUGGGCUAUUGCUGACACUGAGGAACGAAAGCCAGGGGAGCGAAUGGG
rnacentral:rRNA from 1 species